rnacentral:rRNA from 1 species
UCGCUCAACGGAUAAAAGGUACUCCGGGGAUAACAGGCUGAUACCGCCCAAGAGUUCAUAUCGACGGCGGUGUUUGGCACCUCGAUGUCGGCUCAUCACAUCCUGGGGCUGAAGUAGGUCCCAAGGGUAUGGCUGUUCGCCAUUUAAAGUGGUACGCGAGCUGGGUUUAGAACGUCGUGAGACAGUUCGGUCCCUAUCUGCCGUGGGCGCUGGAGAACUGAGGGGGGCUGCUCCUAGUACGAGAGGACCGGAGUGGACGCAUCACUGGUGUUCGGGUUGUCAUGCCAAUGGCACUGCCCGGUAGCUAAAUGCGGAAGAGAUAAGUGCUGAAAGCAUCUAAGCACGAAACUUGCCCCGAGAUGAGUUCUCCCUGAGACUUUAGGUCUCCUGAAGGAACGUUGAAGACGACGACGUUGAUAGGCCGGGUGUGUAAGCGCAGCGAUGCGUUGAGCUAACCGGUACUAAUGAACCGUGAGGCUUAACCUUACAACGCCGAAG